rnacentral:rRNA from 1 species
AUUGAACGCUGGCGGCAUGCCUUACACAUGCAAGUCGAACGGCAGCGCGGGAGCAAUCCUGGCGGCGAGUGGCGAACGGGUGAGUAACAUAUCGGAACGUGCCCUAGAGUGGGGGAUAACUAGUCGAAAGACUAGCUAAUACCGCAUACGAUCUAAGGAUGAAAGUGGGGGAUCGCAAGACCUCAUGCUCAUGGAGCGGCCGAUAUCUGAUUAGCUAGUUGGCGAGGUAAAAGCCCACCAAGGCGACGAUCAGUAGCUGGUCUGAGAGGACGACCAGCCACACUGGGACUGAGACACGGCCCAGACUCCUACGGGAGGCAGCAGUGGGGAAUUUUGGACAAUGGGGCAACCCUGAUCCAGCAAUGCCGCGUGAGUGAAGAAGGCCUUCGGGUUGUAAAGCUCUUUUGUCAGGAACGAAACGGAUGGGGCUAAUACCUCUGUCUAAUGACGGUACCUGAAGAAUAAGCACCGGCUAACUACGUGCCAGCCGCCGCCGUAA